GACAGAGGUGCCGAGCGUUAGGCGGAAUCACUGGGCUUAAAGCGUGUGUAGGCAGACUUCUAAGUACCUUGUGAAAUCCCACGGCUUAACCGUGGAACUGCUUGGUAUACUGGUUGUCUUGGGCCAUCUAGGGGCUACUGGAACAAACGGUGGAGCGGUGAAAUGCGUAGAUAUCGUAAGGAAGACCAGUGGCGAAGGCGGGUCUCUGGACAGUUCCUGACGCUGAGGCACGAAGGUCAGGGGAGCAAACGGG
rnacentral:rRNA from 1 species